GCUGGGUAGAGUGGGAAGUGGGAGGCAGUAGGGCUGCCCUAAAGGGUGGGGUCGUGGGCUAGCCUUGGCUGGCAUCUAGUUUUGUAACUGAUUACAUACACUGUGUGAAUCUGUCAGCACUGGAACCCACUCAGUUCGCCAGACCUAAUUAAUCCCUACUGUGAGUCCAGGAGCAGCUUGGAGCUGAGAGGAGUGAUGAGAACCCAUCCGCCCCCAGUAAACGGAUGACCUCAACCCUGGAGGACGCUGUCCAGGAAAAUCCCUCUUUUCCUUCUCCUCAUCCCCGAAUUGAAAAUAAGGGCAGAGACUCCUACUUGGGACUUCUUGAGAGGCGGCCGUUGCUGGACAAUAUGACCCUAGAAGGGCGAGAUCAACUGCCUCAGAUAGGAAAACUUUAUCUCUGAGGCUAUUGCAAACGUGCUCCAUCUGCUACUGUCCAGAUCCGAACUGGCAGCCAGAUAAACUGCUGUGUUUAUCAAGUCUAAACAAUUGUCAGAGUGCAAUUAGGCCGGGAGGCCACUGGCUCUGGAUAAGCAAUGCCUACAGAUGGACUUUGCUGAGGACCCAGUGCUGCUGCUGGGGACACCAUGCUAUCGCUACCCCCUAACACGCUCCGAGUCUCCUUUUUUCCCUGCCCUAAAUUUUAAAGGGGAUUUGAUGUCCUAACACAUUGGUUUUGGCGUUCUUUGCCCAUAGUGGGAAAUAAAACCCAGUAGCUUUUAUAGGUGGAUAAAUCCUUUUUAAAGGC